GUUCCUGUAGUUAAAUUUCGAUAACAGCGGCUUUUCAGGCCGCGGACCCUGGAGAGAGGCCAGGCAGGAAUU
rnacentral:tRNA from 1 species